ANAUCCUUAUUGGGRCUGUAUGAAGAUUGGAUGAAAUAUAUACUGUCUCUUUAAUAAUAAUAGAAUUUAAUUUUUUAAUUAAAAAGUUAAAAUAAAUUUAAAAGACGAGAAGACCCCAUAGAGUUUUAUAUAUUURUUAAUUAAUAUUAUUUAUAAAUUAAUAAAAAUUAAAAUUAAUUUAAUAUAUUAUAUUGGGGUGAUAAAAAAAUUUAUUUAACUUUUUUUUUUUUAAUUAAAUUAACAUAAAUAAGKGARUAUAAUGAUCCAAAAUUUUUGAUUAUAAGAUAAAAUUNCCUUGGGGAUAACAGCGUAAUUUUUUUUUUUAGUUCAAAUAAAAAAAAAAGUUUGCGACCUCGAUGUUGGAUUAAGAUAAAAUUUAAAUGC
rnacentral:rRNA from 1 species